AAGUCGUAACAAGGUCUCCGUUGGUGAACCAGCGGAGGGAUCAUUACCGAGUUUACAACUCCCAAACCCCUGUGAACAUACCUAUCGUUGCUUCGGCGGAUCCGCCCCGGCGCCCUCGGGCCCGGAUCAGGCGCCCGCCGGAGACCCCAAACUCUUGUAUUUCUUUAGUAUCUUCUGAGUAAACAAGCAAAUAAAUUAAAACUUUCAACAACGGAUCUCUUGGUUCUGG
rnacentral:misc_RNA from 1 species